rnacentral:miRNA from 1 species
UUCAAGGUCGCUUUGGUGGGGGCA